ACUACUAAUGGGAAAGGAUCUCUUCUGGAGAUCCCUUCUCUGGAAUUUUGCAGCUAGCCCAGAAUGCAGGAGCUUUGGAUGUCACGGUCUACCCUGAGGAUAUGUUCCUACCUGUGAAUAGAAAUCAAACGGCUUGUUUCUAUUUUGAAGAAAGUUAAUGCUGACAUCUAGUGGUACCCUUGUGCAUGUACGAAAAACUGAGAAAUCUGAUGGACUGCUGAAUAAAUGACAGAUAGCCCGACACUUUGAUAUUGCCAUUUCAAAAUAAUCUACUAAAAUGCUAAGCUGUGGUGGCAUGUUUGUUCUGGGAGUGCUCCUUGAGCACAUACAUCCCCACACUUCAGUGCUUAGAGCCCAGGGAAGCCUAAACCAGAUCUGGUUCCUCUCUGCUGCUAGGUAUGUGUGAAAUGGCCACCUCUGCAAGAUAGUGCCUGUCUGCUUUAUGUCAUCACUCAGAACUGAUUGACUUGAGCUGUUAUCUUCAAACACUGCAUGAAGGUAUUGCUUAAUUUUGCCCUGCUUUUUCUCUGUAUUUUCUGGGCAAGCAGUGUGCUUGACUUUAUGCUGUUACGAAUUUGUCAUGUCCUUUCCAGCUCUUGAAAAUCUAAGUAUCAUUUAUUUACACUGAAGUUAUGGAAGCUUGAGAACUUUAUGUGUUUACAAGCCACUUAAAUAAGCAUAGGUGUGUCCUCUGCCUCAGAAACCCUGUGCUUGCUGAAUUUGCACAAUUGUGUUCACUCUUGAGUCUGCCUUGCACAUUAGUAUCUGCUAGUUCUUGUCAAUCAUGAAAAAAAAGGAAGAGAGUAUUGAGCAGGAAUCAGUAAAAACGUGAAAUAAAGGUUUUGUGUUGACAAAGGGUAUGGUCCAGAGAUAGAAAA